rnacentral:tRNA from 1 species
GCAGCGGUGGUUCAGUGGUAGAAUUCUCGCCUUCCAUACGUGAGAACUGGGUUCGAUUCCUGCCAGUGCA